UACGUAGGCAGCGAGCGUUGUUCGGAGUUACUGGGCGUAAAGGGUGCGUAGGCGGUUGUUUAAGGUUGGUGUGAAAUCUCCCGGCUCAACUGGGAGGGUGCGCCGAAUACUGAAUGACUAGAGUGCGGGAGAGGAUAGUGGAAUUCCUGGUGUAGCGGUGAAAUGCGUAGAUAUCAGGAGGAACACCGGUGGUGUAGACGGCUAUCUGGACCGUAACUGACGCUGAGGCACGAAAGCGUGGGUAGCAAACAGG
rnacentral:rRNA from 1 species